rnacentral:rRNA from 1 species
UACGAAGGGGGCGAGCGCUAUCCAGAAUGAUUGGGCGUAAAGUGUCCGUAGACGGUUAUAAGAUUGUUUUAAGUCAAAGAUUAAACUAGUAAAUUAAAUUUGCUUUUAAUACUUUUUAACUAGAGUACAGUAGAGGAUAAUAGAACUUCAUACAUAAGAGUAAAAUCUAAUCAUUUAUGAAAGAAUGUCGGAGGCGAAAGCGAUUAUCUGGACUGUUACUGACGUUGAGGGUCGAAAGCAUAGGGAGCAAACAGG